AGUCAUGGACAGGGGUACUAUUUUAUAUUUAUAGAAUGGUUGAGAGAUACUCUUAGUAGCUGAUCUAGGUAAUUCUAGCGUAGCGAGUCUUUUUUCUCCUAAC
rnacentral:ncRNA from 2 species